rnacentral:lncRNA from 1 species
UUGCGCGGCGUGAUUGUCGGCGAGUCAGGUUAAAUUCUUAAAUAGGUCGCGCCUGCGCCUAAUUGAGUCUAUAAAAGCCUGCACAUUCAGUUUUGCUAGCUACAAUGCAGUGCGGCUGGCGUGAGCUGUCUCCACGAUGCGCUUCGAGCGUGUCGAUUUCGCCGUUCUUUAUGUUGGCGUUAACGACCUUGAAAGCAACAUGGAUCCACAAGAAAUGUGCGACAACAUCAAGGCCUUGAUUGUUCAACGAGACGGCCCCCGUCGUGCUGGUUUUCAAGGUGCUCCCUCGCUGCCUAGAAGAUGCUGAUGCGGAAUAGAAAAUGCAAAAACGUCGCUUGCUCAACCGCAAAUUGACGGCUACGCUGAAGCGCAUGCCGUGUCUGCGGAAUUUGAACCCCGAGCUUUCCAGAGUUCCUUGGAAAAUCUUCCCAUGCACCUGCCAUGUACAUUGCCCUCCUCCUCGAUGUGGCGUGCAAGAUGGCAGCAGCAGCUGUGGGAACAGUUGAAGAGGCAAAGAAAGGUCCACUUUAUAAUAGGUUGUAUGUAAAUAAAACUGAUCGACCUCAACAGAUUCGGCUUCCACUUUUGUCAAGACAAUUGUCAGCAAAGCAAUGGAGCAAUUUCAGUAGGGCGAUAGUAAUAAAUAGUGCAUAGAAA